AGAAGAAUUGUGAUCUUUGUGAGCCUUUAUGCAGAAAACUUCAAUGGUUUAAUCAAACUCUCACCUCUUUAAAAAAAGUGUUACUUUUGGAUGGAGAGAUGCCAACAAUAGGUACUUUGAACUUUUAGAUUUUGGCAGACUUUGAAGCUAAAGUUGGUCAUAGCAGAUGCCCUCGACUAGUUCUGCUGGAGUUUUGUUUUGAGUUGAAGAACAAGCUGCUCCAAAUACACCAAUGGUUGCUGCAUGAGCCCCCGUGUUUGGUUUCCCUCAGCCCUUCCAUCACCCCAGAACCCACUUUGAGCUGUGAGAGGAUGUCGGCACUAAUUUGGGCAUCGAUCAGGCUGCCGGCAGCAGUUGACACCCUCACAAAGGCUGUGAACGAGCAAGAUAGGGAGAUGAGCGGUAUGCUAGGUGCGAUUCAACGCAGGCUGCGGUGG